AGUAGAUUUCCGCACCUGCUGCCAAAAUCUUAAAAGGUUAUACAGAGACCAUUAGUCCAGAUGGUUUCAAUAACUCCUUACACUCUCAAGGAACUUUCUUUAAUCCUGUCUAGGCAUUCAACAUACGCAUCAUUCAGAGCAGCGGAAGGAGGACCAGAUGAUGCAGAAGGAAGGACCAGAUGACAUGUUAUAAGAAUACUAUUGGUUCUGUUAAUUUACCAUGUUAGAAUUGGUCACACUGGAUGGAAGAGGCAUUUCCAGGACUUUAUGAGUUAGUUAAAAAGUCCUCCCACUGAUUGUGAACAAGCCUUCAAAAGGUA